AAACAUAUCCUUUUACAAAGUUGAAAGGCUCGAUGUCGCAGGAUUGAUUAUCAGGCCGUGGAAUAUCAGGAUGCACGAUCAACUAUUUGAAUUCAAAAGGAUAGUUCAGGUUUACAAAAUGGUCAAAAUGGCUAUUCAAUUAAUUAACAUUUUAUCAGCAACACUAUAUGGACUGCAACGUUGUCCCAGUGACAGAGUAAGGUAUCUAAUCAUUCCUUUUGUUUUCAAGAUUCAAGGAAUACGGGCGGCAUCGAUUACUAUAUACCAAGUCUGGUUUAUAUAUCAUGGCUGGAUUGAGUUGUCUAUACCUUUACUCUAGACCCAGGCAAUAUAGCAGAACCACAACCACAGGCUGCAAAACCACAUAUAUAAACUUAUCAAGUUACUGGAAAUGUGAAUUCGCAGUCCAGGAAGCUUCAGUAAUCCUAUAGACCGGGAUCAUAAAUUUUUACAGUUCCAACCAUAUCAAGGGCUAUUGCAAGUGCUUACAAGAGAUGCCCUGGAUAAUCCUAUAUACGAGCAAGACCAUGCUGUGAUUGCUCAAGACCAUUCCAACAAUCUGAAGUUACU
rnacentral:lncRNA from 1 species